UGCAGUCGAGCGGGAUUGAGAGAAAGCUUGCUUUUGAUCAUGAUAGCGGCGAACGGGUGAGUAACAUGUUGGUAUCUACCCUCAAGUCGGGAAUAGCCCAUCGAAAGAUGGAUUAAUGCCGGAUAGACUCUACGGAGUAAAGAUUUAUUGCUUGAGGAGGAGCCUACAUUCUAUCAGUUAGUUGGUGAGGUAAUGGCUUACCAAGACUAUGACGGAUAGCUGGUCUGAGAGGAUGAUCAGCCACAAUGGAACUGAGACACGGUCCAUACUCCUACGGGAGGCAGCAGUGAGGAAUCUUCCACAAUGGGCGAAAGCCUGAUGGAGCGACACCGCGUGAAGGAUGAAGGUCUAACGACUGUAAACUUCUUUUCUGAAGGAGCAUAAUGAGAGUACUUCAGGAAUAAGCACCGGCAAAACUCGUGCCAGCAGC
rnacentral:rRNA from 1 species